CGCAACGAGUCUUCCCUUGAUUGAAAAAUCCGGGUAAUCUUGUAAAUGUGUGUCGUGAUAGGGAUAGAUUAUUGCAAUUAUUAAUCUUGAACGAGGAAUUCCUAGUAAAUGCGAGUCAUCAGCUCGCGUUGAUUACGUCCCUGCCCUUUGUACACACCGCCCGUCGCACCUACCGAUUGAAUGAUUCGGUGAAAAUUCCGGACUGUGGCUCGAUAACCGCGAGGUCGCCUUGCUGUAGGAAGUUAUUUAAACCUCAUCAUUUAGAGGAAGGUGAAGUCGUAACAAGGUUUCCGUAGGUGAACCUGCGGAAGGAUCA
rnacentral:rRNA from 1 species